UACGGGGGGGGUAAGCGUUGUUCGGAAUUACUGGGCGUAAAGGGCUCGUAGGCGGCCAACUAAGUCAUACGUGAAACUCCCUCGGCUUAACCGGGGAACUGCGUCUGAUACUGGAUGGCUUGAGGUUGGGAGAGGGAUGCGGAAGUUCCAGGUGUAGCGGUGAAAUGCGCAGAUAUCAGGAGGACACCAAUGGCGAAGGCAGCUCACUGGGACGAUACGUGACGCUGAGACGCGAAAGCGUGGGGAGCAAACAGG
rnacentral:rRNA from 1 species